rnacentral:antisense_RNA from 1 species
GUGCCGUGUACGACCAGGUGGCGUCGCCGUCCACCAGCGUGUGGUCGCCGAAGUAGGCGCCGUCGGCGAGGACUCCGAGCACCGUCUCGUCGCCGUACAGCCCGGAACCGAUCUUCUCCACCUUGCCGUGGGCCAGCAGGUAGACGCGGUCCGCCGCCUCCCCCGACAUCGUGAGCAGCUCACCCGGCGCCACUUCACGCUGUUCGCACCUGCGGGCCAGCUCGGCCAGGACCUCCUCGUCCCCGAAGUUCCGCAGCGCCGGCAGCUCGCCGAGCUCGGCGGGGAUGACCGCGACCUGGUCACCGGUCUGCACGAAGGUCACCCGGCCGUCGCCGACCGAGUAGCUCAGCCUCCGGUUCACCCGGUAGGUGCCGCCCUGCACCUGCACCCACGGCAGCAUCCGCAGCAGCCACCGCGAGGUGAUCUCCUGCAUCUGCGGGGCGGACUUGGUCGUCGUCGCGAGGUUCCGCGCGGCCGCCGUGCCGAGACUCUGCUGCGGCGGCUGCGU